ACAUUGAGCAGAUCUAAAUUUAAUGCUGCGGUCAACACUUUUCAUUUCAUUUGCAUUUUAUUCACGACAGACGUGAUGAUUUAGUUUAACUGUUUUAGUUUUAGAUCCCACAAAGUCGACGACAGGAAUGUGUUUUAGGGCGAGACACUUGCCUGACAAAUAUUAGCAUGUGGUGAAGAAGACACACUGACUGGAGUCGACUGCUGAGAACAACAGAUGUCACUGUUGGAGACGUCCUUGAAAUGACACCAGGAUUACAAAAUUAAUUUGCUCGGAUUUGCCCUAUUCAGGGGUGAACCAAUUAGUAACACAGUUAUUUAAAAUGCAAUUUACUGACCUUUGCCCUCUUGCACUUUGACCCUGAACGUCCAUUAGGAUGCCAUUGCUUUGGCUGCUUCCCAGCAUACGCUUUGCUUGGCAAAAGUCUGGAGCUCCUCCAGCGCCUCCGUACGGCUGGCAGGCGGGCGGCCCCCGGGAGUCAGGAUUGUGUGAUAACACUUUGAAAUGAUAGUUUAGCCCAGGAGAGCACUUGACACGCAAUAUCUUCCCCGCUCCGAUCGACAGGCAAAGCAAGCUCAGAGCAGGGUAAACAUCGGCUCAGGGCGUAGACACACGGAGAGAUCCAGAGGAAAGAGCGCUCAUCACACGCCGAGAUGCAGGAACGCAUCCGGUCUGCCGCACAAUUACCACUCUGUCCAUCACGGGUCUCAUCACCGGAGGCUUUUCUCACCCGCCGCAGACGCAUUUAUUCUCCUCUUGGCCUGUCUGUGUAUUCAGCCUCGACAGCUGCAAAUAGACAACAGUUAUCCAGAUGAGACGAAGAAGGUGUCAAGGGAAGGACGAAAGGUGUACUGGCACUGAGAAAACAACCAAUUGACCACAAGAUGCCAUAAUCCCGUAUCCAUAAACCAGCUGUCCCAAGAUCAUGCAAAACUUCCUGGCACUCAAGUUCGGACCAUUUGCAUUUGACACGUGCCUCGUUUUAACCGUACGCACUGGGCUAUGUAAUGAGAGGCGGCUGUAUGAACGGCUGAUUGUCUCCCAGAGUUGAUGUAUUCCGCUGGGAGGGCAGGAGGUGAAGAUCCCAUUGCUGUUACACCUGAGGCAGCUGGUUAAACCCCUUCAGCUGUGGAAGUUACGACGACGCCUCCUCUGACAGGAGCAAACUCCUGAUUGAGCUGCGCUUUUGUGCGCCGUCAUUAUCGUUAAGUAAGCUGCUGUCUCUCUGCCUAAUGAAGACUGAGAUCAUUCAGGCAGGACAUUAUGAAUAAGGUAAUCAAAACUGAAGCGUCGCCCUCUCUAAAAUGAUUUCACGAAUGGGUCACAUUUAUUUAUGGAUAUGAAUAUGGUAAAUUAACAAGUGUGUGUGUUAAUUUAGUCUCAUAAUUGUCCUUUUAUUGCGAGUUGCCUCCGUUUACAGAUCCUUAAACAGACUCCAAAGAUGACUUAAAGUUGAUUAGUACUUGUUAGAAAAGCUACCUCCUUUAGAUUCCCUUAUCUUGUCUCUAAUUGUUUCCUAAUUGUCGUUAUGCAUCCUAACCACAGAUAAUACACUCAUUCACUCCUCAAAAUAAAAACGAUGCUUUCAGAUACUCAAAACACCUGCUGGCCACAAAUCGACAAUCAGUGGCGAUGAGUGUACAAGCCUAGAACUCAUAAUUGAAAAAUACACAAUCUAAUGCCACAUUCAAGUCAGAGAUGGAAACACUGACUGGAGUUGAGAUUCCAUUCAAUUCUUUGCACGCAUUUGUAAACGAAUAGGAAUUAGAUAUAUUUGAGUGCCUAACCUCACCCCUACCAUAAUCCUAACAUUUAUUCAUUUAGCAGACUUACAAAUUGGCUUACAAAGUGACUUACAAAUAUGGAAUACAAUCAAUUCAUCGUAAAGAGACAAUAGUAAUAUUGUUAGUAAUACAAAGUUUCAGACAUUGUUUAGAACAGUACAGCUAGAGCAGGAAGGCAUUAAAGGGAUAGUUUACCCAAAAAAUACCCUAUUAUUUACUCACCCUCAAGUCAUUCUAGGUGCACAUGACUUUCUUCUUUCAGAUGAAAAAGGAGUUAUAUUAAAAAAUGUCCUGCACUGUAAAAAAAAAAAAGUUGAGCCAACUUAAAAUUUUAAGGCAACCAGCUCCAGCAGAUUUUUGAGUUUUCUCAACUUGUCAUUUUAAGUUUAUACAACAAAAAUUUGAGAAUCUCCCACGAAAAUGUGGCUCUUCUAAGCUUUAUAAUGGCAGGAAUGGCUGUAGAUAUUCAAUAGUACAAUAGAAGUCUAAUAAAGUGCAUCCACGUCAUCCUCCGGAAUGCCACUCUCUGGUGAACACGCGUAUGACAGUUA